AUGCACGCUGGCGGCGUGCCUCAUCCCUGCCAGUAGCGCGCUGAAGCUUGGUGCUUGCACCGAGCGGAUGAGUUGCGAACGGGUGAGUAACGCGUAGGUAACCUGCCUCUUAGCGGGGGAUAACUAUUGGAAACGAUAGCUAAUACCGCAUAAAAGUCGAUAUCGCAUGAUAUUGAUUUGAAAGGUGCAAAUGCAUCACUAAGAGAUGGACCUGCGUUGUAUUAGCUAGUUGGUGAGGUAACGGCUCACCAAGGCGACGAUACAUAGCCGACCUGAGAGGGUGAUCGGCCACACUGGGACUGAGACACGGCCCAGACUCCUACGGGAGGCAGCAGUAGGGAAUCUUCGGCAAUGGGGGCAACCCUGACCGAGCAACGCCGCGUGAGUGAAGAAGGUUGUCGGAUCGUAAAGCUCGGUUGUAAGAGAAGAACGAGUGUGAGAGUGGAAGGUUCACACUGUGACGGUAACUUACCAGAAAGGGACGGCUAACUACGUG
rnacentral:rRNA from 1 species